UACACCAUAUUUCUCCAAUGCCCUGGUGCAUGUCUCAAGUAACUUUUCAUUUCCUAAUAACCCAAGGUAAUUAGCUGAAGUGAAAUUUAUUACUUCCUUGCCAUUAAUAGUUGUAUGAGGACCUGCAGCGCUUUCAAGUACUGGAGGCUCCGAUUUCAUCUCAUCUGUAAUGGUGGGAAUAAGAGGUUCCGGGACCCAUUCAUCACACAGUUCAUCUAUUUCCUUCUUUGUCAAUGGUCUUUUAGGUGGUUUAUAACUUUUCUGUGAUAGUAGGAAAAGGAUGACCACCAGGAGAAGACCCUCAACAAAUAGAUGCCCUCCAAUGUUAACUCCAAACACCACAGCUCUUGCAAACGGAGCUUCGGAUAUCCAUGUGACCCAAUCAGAUGCAUCUCUCAGCUUAUUUGUAAGAACUGAUAUUGUUGCAUCCAUUAUCUAUGUCAAUUGCAGACAGGGCUGAAAGAGUGGUUCUUGAAACUUCAAUGGAGUCUUCAACGAUAAAUUUAUUACCAAAUUCAAGAUUUUAAAUAGA
rnacentral:misc_RNA from 1 species